rnacentral:lncRNA from 1 species
CAGAAGGGAAAGACAAAUGAUGAGGACAGGAAAUGCAAGGAAAGGAACCGAAGCAAAAAGCUGACUAAUGUGGGUCAGGAUAAAAAUAAUGUAACCAAAGGAGUGGACAACAAGCAGAAGCAGAAACUGGGGGCUGUCAGAGGGCAGAGGAGGAAAACACUCUGGUUCCAGAGGGUGAGGCCCAGGAGUGGAUGUCUGCUGGAUGCUUCUGACCCUCAUCGAAGGAGACAGUGCCUGCCAGAAGGCACCAGUAUGGAGACAGAGACUGUCAACCACAAAUCAGAAGGCUGAGCCCAUUAAUGGUUCCUCACCAGACCUUCUUUGGUCCACUCGCUGUCUUCACUCUUCGCUCAUCCUUGGAGGGUACCAGAGGCCAUAUUGGGUCUUACUUUUUGCGAUGCCCCAUAGGAGAAAGAGCUUCAGGGGCUGGCCCCGUGGCCGAGUGGUUAAGUUCGCGCGCUCCGCUGCAGGCGGCCCAGUGUUUCGUUGGUUCGAAUCCUGGGCGCGGACAUGGCACUGCUCAUCAAACCACGCUGAGGCAGCGUCCCACAUGCCACAACUAGAAGGACCCACAACGAAGAAUAUACAACUACGUACUGGGGGACUUUGGGGAGAAAAAGGAAAAAAAUAAAAUCUUUAAAAAAAAAAAAAAAAGAGUUUCAAAAUGUUAGUGACCCAGCACUUACACUUUUAGGAAUUUAUCUAGAUCAGACAGGGGC